rnacentral:lncRNA from 1 species
CCCAGCCACAUCCCAGGACUAUGCCAUGGUCAGCCCUAUGUGCAUCUAGCUGUUUUCUUUCUAUUGCAUCGUGAUCUCCUGAGCAGCCCUUGUGUCCCUAUCCCUUCCUAUAUUUCUAUCUCCCACCUCCCAGGAGGGUGGAGGUCUUGAUGUGCAGAUAUUUACAAGGGCUUGGACCCAUCAAAAUAUUUAUUAAAUCUCUCAGGAGCUUGGAGACACAGGGAACUGCAGCACAAACAAAUGUUGUACUUCAUCCUUAAAGGUCCAGUUUCUACCUCUCAACUUCCCCAGAUUUUACAGAUUCAGCCACUCUGGGCUGGGGGCCCCUUUUCAGGGCUGUCCCUGACCUGAAAGGAUCAGUAGAACUGUUGCCUUUGCAGCAAUGACUGGAACAGCACAGAUGAAAGCUGCAAUCAGAGGUGUGUGAAUAAACCACCUUCAGCUUCUUAAAUUUAUUCCUCCGUGUUACCUGCUGAGCAAUGCCUGUAUGUUGCAGUCUGGGAAUUUUCCCCAUGAGGAAAAAUGGUAAGUCUGAGCAUGUCUUUGCAUAUUUCUCAGUCAGUUUUGUGUCCACACAUCUUCACUUUUCAAAGCUGACACGUGGCAGAUGACUUGCCCAGAAUUUGAGAGAAUCACUCCCAAACUCACCAGGUACAGCCUAUUGCACUGGUGGAAGCAAAGAAUGAAGACAUGAAGGGUUUGUGAUGACAUAUCACCUGCUGAGGUUGGUCUGGUGGCCAGUGUGUGAGUGAGAGUGAGUUGAUGUGAAUCCUGCUAUAACCUGCUGGAAUGGUACAAUCAAAUUCACCCUCUUCCCAUCUCUUUUAGGGGAGCCAGUCAUGUCCACACCGGUAUGCAGGUACUGCUGAUGCUCCAGGGAUUACAGGUGCAAUGUCAAGAACUCGGGUGACAGAAUGACCAAAUGACUGCUGCUGGCAAAAGACAGGAGCCAGCAGUAGGUACCCAUCUGAUAAUCCUCUUUCUGGGGAAGGCAGGUUUGUUUGGGGAUGGAGGGCACGUGAUAGAGGAGUCAAUGUGGAGCACAGAUAUCCAGAUAUCUCUGGUAGGUGUCUGUAGUGAAGCUGUUUCUCCUGCUUUGAAAUCUUCUGCUAAUGAAUCUCUCAGUCACAGAAACACGAGCAAUUGGGCUGUAUAUUUUAAGUUCCCAUUCUGUAGUAUUUUGUACCCACUUCUUUUCUGCAUCUCUGACUCGCAUCAUUAGCAACAGCAACCUACUGUUGCACAAUAUUUCCACAAAUUAUGCUGCUUAAUUAACCAAGUGAUGUGUAAUAAUGCUAUGUGACAUUUUUCUAGAAGUGUUACCUAAAAGGCCUGAACCUCUUAAAGUGAUAACAGGAAAGUGG